rnacentral:misc_RNA from 1 species
AAGUCGUAACAAGGUUUUCGUAGGUAAACCUGUAGAAAGAUUAUUACCUUUCUAGCUAUUUAAUAGCUUGUUUAGGGGGCUGUAGUUUCUAUAGUCUCUAACUACAUCUAUGUUUUUUUGCGUACUACAUGUUUUUCUUAGUAGGCUUUGCUCGCUAGUUAGACAAACUAAAACUCUUUGCAAUUGCAAUCAGCGUCUAAAUUAUAUAAUAAUUACAA